rnacentral:rRNA from 1 species
AUUGAACGCUGGCGGCAGGCCUAACACAUGCAAGUCGAGCGGAUGAAGGGAGCUUGCUCCUGGAUUCAGCGGCGGACGGGUGAGUAAUGCCUAGGAAUCUGCCUGGUAGUGGGGGAUAACGUCCGGAAACGGGCGCUAAUACCGCAUACGUCCUGAGGGAGAAAGUGGGGGAUCUUCGGACCUCACGCUAUCAGAUGAGCCUAGGUCGGAUUAGCUAGUUGGUGGGGUAAAGGCCUACCAAGGCGACGAUCCGUAACUGGUCUGAGAGGAUGAUCAGUCACACUGGAACUGAGACACGGUCCAGACUCCUACGGGAGGCAGCAGUGGGGAAUAUUGGACAAUGGGCGAAAGCCUGAUCCAGCCAUGCCGCGUGUGUGAAGAAGGUCUUCGGAUUGUAAAGCACUUUAAGUUGGGAGGAGGGGCAGUAAGUUAAUACCUUGCUGUUUUGACGUUACCAACAGAAUAAGCACCGGCUAACUUCGCG